rnacentral:lncRNA from 1 species
UAAUAUUUUUUUAUACUUUUUACCGAGCCCACCGAGCUUAACGAGCCGAGCCGAGUUUUAUUUGACACCCUACGUAUAGAGGUACGUCCGAAGGUUACAAGUAACAUAAAUUAUAAUAAAAACAAAGACAAUUUACACACUCGCUUAAAAAAAACUCAUCUGUCUAGUCUCAGGUUUCCACACCUUUUUCCUUUCAUCUCGGUUUCAGAAUCUUUCAAAAAGGUUGGGAUAUGCUUCCGCCAGCCAUGUGUUUGUGUCCACUCGAGAACCUGACACUCCUAUAGUCCGUUGAAGGCAUCGUCCUUUCCCUCUUUCCCGAAAGAAGACAAGGGUCGAAUUCGUUAGCAAUCAACUAGUCGGACGUGGGACAAACGUAUGGUAGCUACCGUCAUCCGUCCACCCUAAAAGAGUUUCGUUAUUAAAGGAAUGAACCCCGACCAGACUCUUCGGCCUUUCCUCAUUUAUCUCACUAUACCCAAUUUGGGGUCCAGAUCCACUACGUACUAAAUAACUUCUGUUAAUAGAUUAUUUUGGAUACCCUCUCUAUCUUAUAAAACAA